rnacentral:tRNA from 1 species
GUUAUUAUGGCAGAUUAGUGUAUUAAUUUUAGGAAUUAAUUAAGUGUAAUUUUUUAUUAUUCUAAUAAUA